UUUUUAGUGUAAGUAUGUCCCAUGGAAUAUUUGGGACAUACUUACACUAGAA
rfam:Papio anubis isolate 1X1155 chromosome 10, whole genome shotgun sequence.